rnacentral:rRNA from 1 species
UCGGCUGUUUUCGGUUGACUCAUAGUAACUGAGCUGAUCGCAUGGUCUUGCACCGGCGACGUGUCUUUCAAGUNUCUGCCGUAUCAACUUUCGAUGGUAGUGUAUCUGACUACCAUGGUGAUCACGCGUAACGGAGAAUAAGGGUUCGACUCCGGAGAGUUCGCCUGAGAAAUCGCGAACACAUCUAAGGAAGGCAGCAGGCGCGAAAAUUACCCACUCUCAGCACGAGGAGGUAGUGACGAAAAAUAACGAGACCGUUCUCUUAUGAGGCCGGUCAUCGGAAUGGGUACAAUUUAAACCCUUUAACGAGUAUCUAUGAGAGGGCAAGUCUGGUGCCAGCAGCCGCGGUAAUUCCAGCUCUCAAAGUGCAUAGAAUUAUUGCUGCGGUUAAAAAGCUCGUAGUUGGAUCUGUGCCAUAGGACGGGGUCAGCCCUAACGGGUUUGUACUCCGCUCCUAGGCUUUUCAGUCGGUUUUCCUAUCGUGGCCUUCACUGGUUGCGGUAGGUGGCUGACGAGUUUACUUUGAGAAAAUCAGAGUGCUCAAUACAGGCGUUUCGCUUGAAUGAUUGAGCAUGGAAUAAUAGAAAAGGAUUUCGGUCCUCUUUUAUUGGUUUAGUGGACUGAGAUAAAGGAUAACACGGACAACCCGGGGCAUUCGCAUCAUCGCGUGAGAGGUGAAAUUCUUGAACCGCAUCGAGAGAACCAAAUUCGAAUCAUUAACAAGAAGCNUGAGUCAUCAAGGAGGAAAUU